rnacentral:misc_RNA from 1 species
UCCCCGUUUCACAGGGCAGUCUGACCAGAGUGCUCGAACUUUCGUCCUGAGCAACAGGUCACAAGGGUUGCGCUCGUUGCGGGACUUAACCCAACAUCUCACGACACGAGCUGACGACAGCCAUGCAGCACCUGUGCAAAUUACCUCUUGCGAGAUUCACCGGCUUUCGCCGGAUUAGAGAUGCAUGUCAAGCCCAGGUAAGGUUCUUCGCGUUGCAUCGAAUUAAGCCACAUACUCCACCGCUUGUGCGGGCCCCCGUCAAUUUCUUUGAGUUUUAAUCUUGCGAUCGUACUCCCCAGGCGGCGCGUUUAACGCGUUAGCUUCGGCACGGAAGGGGUCGAAUCCUCCCAUACCAAACGCGCACCGUUUACUGCCAGGACUAC